AUGCGUGAUCAGGUCGGCAUCGACCUGGACGGCUUCCCCCUCGACCACGAGUUCCCGGACGACUACGGUCUGGAGGAAGAGGACGAGUGCGACAUCGACGUGGAGCCUUUGUUCGAGGACGAGCUCGCCAACCAAGCCGCCAGUCCUAAGCCGAAGCGCAAGAGCAAGCGUACGAAGGCGUACACGGUGGCCAAGGACAAGCUUCUUUGCGAGUGUUGGCGAGACAUUGGACAAGACCCGAAGACGGGCACCGAGCAAAAGCAUUCAACCUUUUGGAUUCAUGUCCACCGAGAGUUUCAUGAGCGCAAGAAGUUUCCGCAUUACCAAUUUGUGAGCACGCGCGGGUGGGUCUCCAUUUCCAAGCGGUGUAGAGUGAUCCAACAAGAGUGCAACAAGUUUUGCGCCACUCUUCAGAGCGUCAAGGCCCGCCCCGUGAGCGGUGAUACAUAUCCAACGUAUCUAUAA
rnacentral:rRNA from 1 species